UUUGAAGGCAAUGUGAAAUCUCUGCUGUGGUUAUGAACUGGCAAUUUCUGUCUCACUAUUAUUUUAUUUUAAUGAUGCUGAAACAAUGAGUUGAAUUAUGAUGGUAAUGAUAGAAAUUGGUCAUUUGCUUAAUCAAAUUAAUGGGUUACGUGUGUGAUGUCUACGUCCUUAUGUGUGUUGCAGCAUGAGAAUGGUUAGGUUAUCUGUAGAAGGAAGAAAUGUAGUAUAUGAGUAUCCACCUUUCAUGCUCAAUCUUCCUAAAGGAAAGGAAUAACUAUCUCACAUCCUAAUUGGUUUGGACAUUGAUAUUCUGCAAUUUCUUUAUUGAUUCAUUCUUUAUUUGGUGCAGAAA
rnacentral:misc_RNA from 1 species